UACGUAGGGGGCAAGCGUUGUCCGGAAUCAUUGGGCGUAAAGAGCGUGUAGGCGGUUCGGUAAGUCGGCUGUGAAAGUCCAGGGCUCAACCCUGGGAUGCCGGUCGAUACUGCCGGACUAGAGUUCGGAAGAGGCGAGUGGAAUUCCCGGUGUAGCGGUGAAAUGCGCAGAUAUCAGGAAGAACACCUAUGGCGAAGGCAGCUCUCUGGGACGGUACUGACGCUGAGACGCGAAAGCGUGGGGAGCGAACAGG
rnacentral:rRNA from 1 species